AUUGAACGCUGGCGGCAUGCCUUACACAUGCAAGUCGAACGGUAACAGGUUAAGCUGACGAGUGGCGAACGGGUGAGUAAUGUAUCGGAACGUGCCCAGUCGUGGGGGAUAACUGCUCGAAAGAGCAGCUAAUACCGCAUACGACCUGAGGGUGAAAGCGGGGGAUCGCAAGACCUCGCGCGAUUGGAGCGGCCGAUAUCAGAUUAGGUAGUCGGUGAGGUAAAGGCUCACCAAGCCGACGAUCUGUAGCUGGUCUGAGAGGACGACCAGCCACACUGGGACUGAGACACGGCCCAGACUCCUACGGGAGGCAGCAGUGGGGAAUUUUGGACAAUGGGCGCAAGCCUGAUCCAGCCAUGCCGCGUGCGGGAAGAAGGCCUUCGGGUUGUAAACCGCUUUUGUCAGGGAAGAAAAGGUUCUGGCUAAUACCUGGGACUCAUGACGGUACCUGAAGAAUAAGCACCGGCUAACUACGUG
rnacentral:rRNA from 1 species